CUCGUCCAUUUUGAACAUCUAUAAAAACAGAAAAAAAUAAUCUCAAUUAGUACAUAAAUGACAACAUAUUUUAUUUUCAAUUAGAACAAAGAAGCACACCUAUAAAUAGAGCAUAAAAAAUCUUAAUAGCAAAUGAAUAAAUUAUAUAUACAAAUUAGUAAAAGAAAUAUAAUUCAUGAAAAUUAAAUCAAGAAACAAAAACAAAAA
rnacentral:lncRNA from 1 species